rnacentral:rRNA from 1 species
GACAGAGGUGCCGAGCGUUAGGCGGAAUCACUGGGCUUAAAGCGUGUGUAGGCGGGCCGUUAAGUAUCUUGUGAAAUCCCCCGGCUCAACCGGGGAAUGGCUGGAUAUACUGGCGGUCUUGAGCAAUCUAGGGGCAAAUGGAACAGACGGUGGAGCGGUGAAAUGCGUAGAUAUCGUCUGGAACGCCAAAGGUGAAGACAGUCUGCUGGGGAUUUGCUGACGCUGAGACACGAAAGCCAGGGGAGCGAACGGG